UCCCUGGUGGCUCAGUUGGUAAGUAAAGAAUCUGCCUGCAAAGUGGGAGACCUGGGUUCAAUCCCUGGCUUGGGAA
rnacentral:tRNA from 1 species